rnacentral:rRNA from 1 species
UGCCAGCCGCCGCGGUAAUACGGAGGGUGCAAGCGUUGUUCGGAAUUAUUGGGCGUAAAGCGCGUGUAGGCGGUUCGUUAAGUCUGAUGUGAAAGCCCGGGGCUCAACCCCGGAAGUGCAUUGGAAACUGGCGAACUUGAGUACGGGAGAGGAAAGUGGAAUUCCGAGUGUAGGGGUGAAAUGCGUAGAUAUCAGGAGGAACAUCGGUGGCGAAGGCGACUAUCUGGCCAUGUACUGACGCUCAGACCCGAAAGCGUGGGUAGCAAACAGGAUUAGAUA